rnacentral:rRNA from 1 species
GACGUAGGGGGCCAGCGUUGUUCGGAAUUACUGGGUGUAAAGGGUUCGUAGGCGGUGUGUCACGUCGGCCGUGAAAACCUGCAGCUUAACUGUGGGCGUGCGGUCGAUACGGGCAUCACUGGAGUUCGGCAGGGGAGACUGGAAUUCCUGGUGUAGCGGUGAAAUGCGCAGAUAUCAGGAGGAACACCGGUGGCGAAGGCGGGUCUCUGGGCCGAUACUGACGCUGAGGAGCGAAAGCGUGGGGAGCAAACAGG